AUCCACUCAUCGAUGGUUUAUUAAAUAUGCAUUGGAAUAUGAACCAGUGUAUGAACGCUUAUAGCUUCUUAUAACACGUCGUAGCUCCUUAAAACACGUCAUAGCUCCUUAUAACACGUUAUAACACGUCAUAGCUCCUUAUAACACGUUAUAACACGUCAUAGCUCCUUAUAACACGUUAUAACACGUCAUAGCUCCUUAUAACACGUUAUAACACGUCAUAGUUCCUUAUAACACGUUAUAACACGUCAUAGCUCCUUAUAACACGUUAUAACACGUCAUAGCUCCUUAUAACACGUUAUAACACAUCAUAGCUCCUUAUAACACGUCAUAGCUCCUUAUAACACGUUAUAACACAUCAUAGCUCCUUAUAACAUGUUAUAACACAUCAUAGCUCCUUAUAACACAUCAUAGCUUCUUAUAACAUGUUAUAACACAUCAUAGCUCCUUAAAACACGUUAUAACACAUCAUAGCUCCUUAAAACACGUUAUAACACAUCAUAGCUUCUUAUAACACGUCGUAGCUCCUUAAAACACGUUAUAACACCUCAUAGCUUCUUAUAACACGUUAUAACACAUCAUAGCUUCUUAUAACACAUCAUAGCUCCUUAUAACACGUCAUAGCUCCUUAUAACACGUCAUAGCUCCUUAUAACACGUUAUAACGCAUCAUAGCUUCUUAUAACACGUUAUAACACAUCAUAGCUUCUUAUAACACAUCAUAGCUUCUUAUAACACAUCAUAGCUCCUUAUAACACAUCGUAGCUUCUUAAAACACGUCAUGUGUUAUAACCUAUCAUAGCUUAACACGUCAUAGCUCCUUAUAACACGUCAUAGCUUCUUAUAACACGUCAUAGCUCCUUAUAACACGUCAUAGCUUCUUAUAACACGUUAUAACACGUCAUAGCUUCUUAUAACACCUCAUAGCUUCUUAUAACACGUUAUAACACAUCAUAGCUUCUUAUAACACAUCAUAGCUCCUUAUAACACGUCAUAGCUCCUUAUAACACGUUAUAACACACCACAGCUUCUUAUAACACGUUAUAACACAUCAUAGCUUCUUAUAACACAUCAUAGCUUCUUAUAACACAUCAUAGCUCCUUAUAACACAUCAUAGCUUCUUAUAACACAGGUUAUAACACAUCAUAGCUCCUUAUAACACAUCGUAGCUUCUUAAAACACGUCAUGUGUUAUAACCUAUCAUAGCUUAACACGUCAUAGCUUCUUAUAACACGUCAUAGCUCCUUAUAACACAUCAUAGCUCCUUAUAACACGUCAUAGCUUCUCAUUAUAACACAUCAUAGCUCCUUAUAACACAUCAUAGCUUCUCCUUAUAACACGUCAUAGCUUCUCAUUAUAACACAUCAUAGCUCCUUAUAACACGCCAUAGCUCCUAAUAACACAUCAUAGCUUCUCCUUAUAACACGUCAUAGCUUCUCAUUAUAACACAUCAUAGCUUCUCCUUAUAACACAUCAUAGCUUCUCCUUAUAACACAUCAUAGCUUCUCCUUAUAACACAUCAUAGCUCCUCCUAAUAACACAUCAUAGCUUCUCCUUAUAACACGUCAUAGCUCCUAAUAACACAUCAUAGCUUCUCCUUAUAACACGUCAUAGCUUAUAACACGUCAUAGCUUCUCCUUAUAACACAUCAUAGCUUCUCCUUAUAACACAUCAUAGCUUCUCCUUAUAACACAUCAUAGCUCCUCCUUAUAACACAUCAUAGCUUGUCCUUAUAACACAUCAUAGCUUCUCCUUAUAACACAUCAUAGCUUCUCCUUAUAACACGUCAUAGCUCCUUAUAUCACGUCAUGAUGAUGAAGAGGAUGUGAAGGCUGGUGCUGGGGGGGAUGUCUUAAUGAUGAUGAUGAUGUGAAGGCUGGUGCUGGGGGGGUGUCUUAAUGAUGAUGAUGAAGAGGAUGUGAAAGCUGGUGCUGGGUGGGGGAUGUCUUAAUGAUGAUGAUGAAGAGGAUGUGAAGGCUGGUGCUGGGGGGAUGUCUUGAUGAUGAUGAUGAUGAUGAAGAGGAUGUGAAGGCUGGUGCUGGGGGUGUCUUAAUGAUGAUGAUGAAGAGGAUGUGAAGUCUGGGUGGGGGGAUGUCUUAAUGAUGAUGAUGAAGAGGAUGUGAAGACUGGUGCUGGGGGGAUGUCUGAAUGGUUAUGAUGAAGAGGAUGUGAAGGCUGGUGCUGGGGGAUGUCUUAAUGAUGAUGAUGAUGAUGAAGAGGAUGUGAAGGCUGGGGGGAUGUCUUAAUGAUGAUGAUGAAGAGGAUGUGAAGGCUGGUGCUGGGGGGAUGUCUUAAUGAUGAUGAUGAAGAGGAUGUGAAGGCUGGUGCUGGGGGGAUGUCAUAAUGAUGAUGAUGAUGAUGG
ensembl:lncRNA